AACGUAGGUCACAAGCGUUGUCCGGAAUUACUGGGUGUAAAGGGAGCGCAGGCGGGAAGACAAGUUGGAAGUGAAAUCUAUGGGCUCAACCCAUAAACUGCUUUCAAAACUGUUUUUCUUGAGUAGUGCAGAGGUAGGCGGAAUUCCCGGUGUAGCGGUGGAAUGCGUAGAUAUCGGGAGGAACACCGGUGGCGAAGGCGGCCUACUGGGCACCAACUGACGCUGAGGCUCGAAAGUGUGGGUAGCAAACAGG
rnacentral:rRNA from 1 species